UACGUAGGGGGCAAGCGUUGUCCGGAUUUAUUGGGCGUAAAGCGCUCGCAGGUGGUUCGUUGCGUCGUGCGUGAAAGACCCCGGCUCAACUGGGGAGGGUCGUGCGAUACGGGCGAACUGGAGGCCAGUAGGGGGAUGCGGAAUUCCGGGUGUAGUGGUGGAAUGCGUAGAGAUCCGGAGGAACACCAGCGGCGAAGGCGGCAUCCUGGACUGGUCCUGACACUCAGGAGCGAAAGUGUGGGGAGCGAUCCGG
rnacentral:rRNA from 1 species